rnacentral:tRNA from 1 species
GGUUCUAAGGUGUUUUUCAUAUUUAAUUGCAAAUUAAAAGAAGCUAAUUUAUUUAGCUAGAACUU